CCGUUGGAAACAGUGGCUAAGACUGGAUAGGAAGAUAAAAGGCAUCUUUUAUCUUUUAAAAGACCUAGUAAUAGGUAUGCUUUAGGAGGGGCUUGCGCCAUAUUAGUUAGUUGGUAGGGUAAUGGCCUACCAAGACGAUGAUGUGUAGCUGGACUGAGAGGUUGAACAGCCACAUUGGGACUGAGACACGGCCCAAACUCCUACGGGAGGCAGCAGUAGGGAAUUUUCGGCAAUGGAGGAAACUCUGACCGAGCAACGCCGCGUGAAUGACGAAGUACUUCGGUAUGUAAAGUUCUUUUAUCAAGGAAGAAAAGCAAAUGGCGAACCAUUUGUUUGCCGGUACUUGAUGAAUAAGCCCCGGCUAAUUAUGUGCCAGCAGCCGCGGUAAGACAUAAGGGGCAAGUGUUAUCCGGAAUUAUUGGGCGUAAAGGGUGCGUAGGCGGUCUAGUAAGUCAGUGGUGUAAUGGCAACGCUUAACGUUGUCCGGCUAUUGAAACUGCUAAACUUGAGUUAGAUAGAGGCGAGUGGAAUUCCAUGUGUAGCGGUAAAAUGCGUAAAUAUAUGGAGGAACACCAGAGGCGUAGGCGGCUCGCUGGGUCUUAACUGACGCUGAGGCACGAAAGCGUGGGGAGCAAACAGGAUUAGAUACCCUGGUAGUCCACGCCGUAAACGAUGAGUACUAAGUGUCGGGUUAAACCGGUACUGAAGUUAACACA
rnacentral:rRNA from 1 species